rnacentral:rRNA from 1 species
UACAGAGGCCUCAAGCGUUGUUCGGAAUUACUGGGCGUAAAGGGAAUGUAGGCGGUGACGUAAGUCAGGUGUGAAAGCCCCGAGCUUAACUUGGGAAGUGCACUUGAUACUGCGUUGCUAGAGUGUGAUAGAGGAGAGCGGAAUUCCAGGUGUAGGGGUGAAAUCCGUAGAUAUCUGGAGGAAUACCGAUGGCGUAGGCAGCUCUCUGGCUCACAACUGACGCUGAGAUUCGAAAGCGUGGGUAGCAAACAGG